rnacentral:rRNA from 1 species
UUAAGCAUAUCAAUAAGCGGAGGAAAAGAAACUAACAAGGAUUCCCCUAGUAACGGCGAGUGAAGCGGGAAGAGCUCAAAUUUGAAAGCUGGCGCCUUCGGCGUCCGCGUUGUAAUCUCGAGAAGUGUUUUCCGUGCUGGACCAUGUACAAGUUCCUUGGAAUAGGACGUCAUAGAGGGUGAAAAUCCCGUCCUUGACAUGGACGCCCAGUGCUUUGUGAUACGCUCUCCACGAGUCGAGUUGUUUGGGAAUGCAGCUCAAAAUGGGUGGUAAAUUCCAUCUAAAGCUAAAUAUUGGGGAGAGACCGAUAGCGAACAAGUACCGUGAGGGAAAGAUGAAAAGCACUUUGGAAAGAGAGUUAAACAGUACGUGAAAUUGUCGAAAGGGAAGCGCUUGAAGUUAGACAUGCCUGCUGGAAUUCAGCCUUGCUUUUUGCUUGGUGUAUUUUCCAGUGAGCAGGCCAGCAUCAGUUUUGUCUGUCGGAUAAGGGUAGGAGGAACGUAGCCCCCCUCGGGGGGUGUUAUAGCCUCUUACUGGAUACGGCGGAUGGGACUGAGGACCGCAGUGUGCCUUUAUGGCGGGCCUUCGGGCACCUUCACACUAAGGAUGCUGGCGUAAUGGCUUUAAGCGACCC